UACGAAGGGGGCUAGCGUUGCUCGGAAUCACUGGGCGUAAAGCGCACGUAGGCGGGUCUUUAAGUCAGGGGUGAAAUCCUGGAGCUCAACUCCAGAACUGCCUUUGAUACUGAGGAUCUCGAGUCCGGGAGAGGUGAGUGGAACUCCGAGUGUAGAGGUGAAAUUCGUAGAUAUUCGGAAGAACACCAGUGGCGAAGGCGGCUCACUGGCCCGGUACUGACGCUGAGGUGCGAAAGCGCGGGGAGCAAACAGG
rnacentral:rRNA from 1 species